UGUUCUUUGUGUCCCGUUUCGUAAUGGCGCAGUCAAGAAGUUGAAUAAAAUAAAUGUAUCGAAUUCGGACCUGAUUCUCUCGAAUGGAAAUAAUCGAUCGAGUUACUAGUAAUUUUUAGGCGCAACGUUAGCAGAGUGGUAGCAGUGAGUAUCGAUAAAUGAAGCAACGGUAAGAUUGAAAAUGUAAGGAGAUCUUAACUUAUAAUUGAUAAUAAGUACAUGUUCUUUCUUAUUAUUAUUCCGUGAUACGAUCGAUUUUGAGAUAACGAUGUCUGAGAGUUGUUAUCUAUAGUCGAAUCGAUGAGAUCAGAAGCAGAGUUAGUGUAAUUCGGUUAGAAAGGUUUUCAAGGGAUAUCGAAGCUUUCUGGAUCGUAAAAAUUUCGCGAGAUUAAGUUUAGACCACCAGUGUGCGGACAAUCGAGUGUUUCGUUAGUGUUUUGGUUCUGUCGAGUGUUGAACUAUUCUGUGGACGACGGAACAAUAGAAUUUCUUACAACCAAGGAUCACGAACUUUGCUGUAACAGGAGAUAAUGAUGCAAGUUCUAUGUUUACAGUAUUACGUCUACUGUAUUUCCUCUGUGCUUCAACGUCAGUGACGAGGAGAAACUGAGAGGACUAUCGAUACACGCAUCAAAGACCAUCAAAAAUGCACCCGAUUACAUCACACAAUCUGCAAUAGCUGAGCAUUCGAAGGAAACCGGUCAUCGCGUACAAUAAUGAUGAAACGGAGAGUCUAAUUAAUUCUAACUGCAACUAGCUGCGCCAGAUGUCUCUAGUCGUGCUUUUCAUGGCCAGAGGCGAUACCGAUAAAAUAGGAAACUAUUCACAAGGGAAAUUGGAAAAGACGAAUACUAGGUUGAAAGAAUCAGGCUUCUAAGGAUCGAAACCUAAUCCCGAUAGCAAUUCCGAUAACAAAGGAGUGUACCUUCAAUUUCUAAGCCGUUGCAAGGUUCACAGAGUAAAUUACUUAGGGUCGUGAUGACGAUACCAGAAUUUAGAAUCCUCAUUCGGGUAUAACCCAAUUUACUUCAUGACAUUUAAUUCGAAUUCUACUCGGACUCUGGAGAAUUCUUCUCAGAAAAAUCCUGUCGGCCAUGUUGAAGUAGCUCAUUUGGAUAAAAUUGCACAGACUACGUGUAAAAUACAACAAAACAAUCGAAAUGACUUAUUUACAAAAAUUGCAGAGGUACUCCACAAUUUGCAACAUAGACUU